rnacentral:rRNA from 1 species
UACGUGAGGGUGCAAGCGUUGUCCGGAAUUAGCUGGGCGUAAAGGGCUCGUAGGCGGCCAACUAAGUCAGACGUGAAAAUCCCCUCGGCUUAACCGGGGAACUGCGUCGUGAUACUGGAUGGCUUGAGUUUGGGAGAGGGAUGCGGAAUUCCAGGUGUAGCGGUGAAAUGCGCAGAUAUCGGGGAAGAACACCCGUGGCGAAGGCGGUUCUACUGGGACGGUACUGACGCUGAGACGCGAAAGCGUGGGGAGCGAACAGG